rnacentral:rRNA from 1 species
GGAGGUAGUGACAAUAAAUCACAAUGCGGAACAAUGUUUUGCAAUUGGAUUGAGAACAACGUACAAACCUUAUCGAUAAACAAUUGGAGGGCAAGUCUGGUGCCAGCAGCCGCGGUAAUUCCAGCUCCAAUAGCGUAUAUUAACGUUGUUGCAGUUAAAAAGCUCGUAGUUGAAAUGAAGGGUAGUUGUGUAAUGAAUACAUUCGUGUAUUUUGUUAUUCAACUACCCUCCUUCUAAAUUCGAUAUAUGAGUAUUAAUUUACUUGUAUAUGGUUUUAGACUUUUACUGUGAGAAAAUUAGAGUGUUCAAAGCAGGCAUUUGCUUGAAUAUAUUAGCAUGGAAUAAUCAUGUAUGAUUUUCAUGAUGUAUUUGAUUGGUUUGGUUCAUGAGAAUAAGAUUAAAAGGGACAGUUGGGGGUAUUCAUAUUCAAUAGUCAGAGGUGAAAUUCUCGGAUUUAUGGAAGAUGAACAAGUGCGAAAGCAUUUACCAAGGAUGUUUUCAUUAAUCAAGAA